rnacentral:rRNA from 1 species
GAUGAGCGCUGGCGGCGUGCCUAAUACAUGCAAGUCGAGCGAACAGACGAGGAGCUUGCUCCUCUGACGUUAGCGGCGGACGGGUGAGUAACACGUGGAUAACCUACCUAUAAGACUGGGAUAACUUCGGGAAACCGGAGCUAAUACCGGAUAAUAUAUUGAACCGCAUGGUUCAAUAGUGAAAGACGGUUUUGCUGUCACUUAUAGAUGGAUCCGCGCCGCAUUAGAUAGUUGGUAAGGUAACGGCUUACCAAGGCAACGAUGCGUAGCCGACCUGAGAGGGUGAUCGGCCACACUGGAACUGAGACACGGUCCAGACUCCUACGGGAGGCAGCAGUAGGGAAUCUGCCGCAAUGGGCGAAAGCCUGACGGAGCAACGCCGCGUGAGUGAUGAAGGUCUUCGGAUCGUAAAACUCUGUUAUUAGUGAAGAACAAAUGUGUAAGUAACUAUGCACGUCUUGACGGUACCUAAUCAGAAAGCCACGGCUAACUACGUG